ACCUUCGUGGGGUAGUGGUCAGCACGCUGGGCGUGUAAUCCAGAGGUCCGUGGUUCGAGACCCGGCGAAAGCU
rnacentral:tRNA from 1 species